rnacentral:rRNA from 1 species
GACGAACGCUGGCGGCGUGCCUAAUACAUGCAAGUAGAACGCUGAAGAGAGGAGCUUGCUCUUCUUGGAUGAGUUGCGAACGGGUGAGUAAUGCGUAGGUAACCUGCCUUGUAGCGGGGGAUAACUAUUGGAAACGAUAGCUAAUACCGCAUAACAAUGGAUGACACAUGUCAUUUAUUUGAAAGGGGCAAUUGUUCCACUACAAGAUGGACCUGCGUUGUAUUAGCUAGUAGGUGAGGUAAUGGCUCACCUAGGCGACGAUACAUAGCCGACCUGAGAGGGUGAUCGGCCACACUGGGACUGAGACACGGCCCAGACUCCUACGGGAGGCAGCAGUAGGGAAUCUUCGGCAAUGGGGGCAACCCUGACCGAGCAACGCCGCGUGAGUGAAGAAGGUUGUCGGAUCGUAAAGCUCUGUUGUAAGUCAAGAACGGGUGUGAGAGUGGAAAGUUCACACUGUGACGGUAGCUUACCAGAAAGGGACGGCUAACUACGUG